AGUCUGGUGCCAGCAGCCGCGGUAAUUCCAGCUCUAAUAGCGUAUAUUAAAGUUGUUGCAGUUAAAAAGCUCGUAGUUGGAUUUCGGCGUGCGCUCAGGCUGGUCGGCCGUCAAGGUCUGUACCGUUUGGGUCACGCCCCACUGUAGGAUACUCACCGCUGUCCUUAACUGGGUGGCGGUCAAAGGGGGUGUGCAUGGGGGCAACUCUGUGCAUAUCUCUGGGGUUCCUACUCUUUUACUUUGAGCAAAUUAGAGUGUUCAAAGCAGGCAAUCGAGCCUUGAAUACUUCAGCAUGGGAUAAUGGAACAGGACUGGGGUCCUGAUUUCGUUGGUUUCUGGGAUCUCAGUAAUGAUUAAUAGGGAUAGUUGGGGGCAUUAGUAUUUAAUUGUCAGAGGUGAAAUUCUUGGAUUUAUGAAAGACUAACUUCUGCGAAAGCAUUUGCCAAGGAUGUUUUCAUUAAUCAAGAACGAAAGUUAGGGGAUCGAAGACGAUCAGAUACCGUCGUAGUCUUAACCAUAAACGAUGCCGACCAGCGAUUGGGAGACGUUACAUGGAUGACUCCCCCAGCAGCUUGCGAGAAAUCACAAGUCUUUGGGUUCCGGGGGGAGUAUGGUCGCAAGGCUGAAACUUAAAGGAAUUGACGGAAGGGCACCACCAGGAGUGGAGCCUGCGGCUUAAUUUGACCCAACACGGGGAAACUUACCAGGUCCAGACAUAGUAAGGAUUGACAGAUUUGAGAGCUCUUUCUUGAUUCUAUGGGUGGUGGUGCAUGGCCGUUCUUAGUUGGUGGAGUGAUCUGUCUGGUUAAUUCCGUUAACGAACGAGACCUUAACCUGCUAAAUAUGUCACUGGUAGACUUCUGCCAAAACAGGUGGGUGUCUAGGGGAAAGUUUCGAUGGACUCCGACGCAUUCUUCUGUGGAUGACUACCAGGAUGUACUUCUUAGAGGGACUAUCUGUAUCAAAGCAGAUGGAAGUUUGAGGCAAUAACAGGUCUGUGAUGCCCUUAGAUGUUCUGGGCCGCACGCGCGCUACACUGACAAGUUCAACGAGUUUAACACCUUGCUCGAUAGGGCUGGGUAAUCUUUGAAAAACUUGUCGUGAUGGGGAUAGAUCAUUGUAAUUAUUGGUCUUCAACGAGGAAUUCCUAGUAAGCGUGAGUCAUCAGCUCGCGUCGAUUACGUCCCUGCCCUUUGUACACACCGCCCGUCGCUCCUACCGAUUGAAUGAUCCGGUGAAAUGUUGGGAGCUGGGGUCUUUUGGCGGCGGGGCAACUCGUCGUCAGGGAUUCUGCAAACUUCAUUAAACCUUAUCAUUUAGA
rnacentral:rRNA from 1 species